GAUGAACGCUGGCGGCGUGCCUAAUACAUGCAAGUCGAGCGAACAGACGAGGAGCUUGCUCCUCUGACGUUAGCGGCGGACGGGUGAGUAACACGUGGAUAACCUACCUAUAAGACUGGGAUAACUUCGGGAAACCGGAGCUAAUACCGGAUAAUAUAUUGAACCGCAUGGUUCAAUAGUGAAAGACGGUUUUGCUGUCACUUAUAGAUGGAUCCGCGCCGCAUUAGCUAGUUGGUAAGGUAACGGCUUACCAAGGCGACGAUGCGUAGCCGAACGGAGAGAGUGAUCGGCCACACUGGAACGGAGACACGGUCCAGACUCCUACGGGAGGCAGCAGUAGGGAAUCUUCCGCAAUGGGCGAAAGCCUGACGGAGCAACGCCGCGUGAGUGAUGAAGGUCUUCGGAUCGUAAAACUCUGUUAUUAGGGAAGAACAAAUGUGUAAGUAACUAUGCACGUCUUGACGGUACCUAAUCAGAAAGCCACGGCUAACUACGUG
rnacentral:rRNA from 1 species